UUGCCAGAUAUUGUAAAAAAUUGAGCUCUUUCUUUUGAAGUACCGGAGUAGUCUAUAAACUAAUAUGCAAUUCAAUACGAUUAUGCAUAGUGGCUGACAAGGCUAACUAACAACAUAAUCUAUAUCUAGGUGAGUAUGAGAUGGAUAAAUUAACUUACCAACCUGCCUCUGACAUCUCUCCCUGUCAAAUGAAUCUUUAGUUUCAUCCCCUAACAUGCAAUUCUGCUCCAACAUGGUAUCAGUAGCUUUAUACCCAAGCACACUUUGUCCUUAAGAAGGUCCAAAACAUAUGUUCUCAGUGAGAUAAACACUCUCUUUGAGAUGUUGAAACAUCAAUACUCAAGAAGUACUUUAAGUUACCAAAGUCUUUUAUCUCAAACUCCUUAGUAAGAUAGCUAUUCAACUUCUGCUUUUCUAUAGAUCAAAUAUCAUCAACAUACACAAGGAGUGCAGUAACCUUGUUUUCAUGUGACUUGAAUAAAUUGGGUAUGGUCAUCUUGACUCUAUUUGUAGCCACAUCUAAGCAUAGCCCAAGUAAACCUCUCAAAUCAUGCUCUAGCAGACUUUGUAAAUCCUAUAAUGCCUUUUUAAGCUUGCACACUCCCAUCAACUGAGAAAUCCUCAAAGCCAGGUGGAACAUCUGUCAAUACUUCUUCCUCUAAGUCUUCACAGAGUAAAGCAUUCGUCAUAUCUAAUUGUUAAAGAGGCUCAAUAUGUUAAUUCUCUAGAAUAGGCCACACAAAGAGCUUUUGAAAUGGCAAUGCUGUGAAUUUCAGUUAAUUUGAGUGCUUAACUAACUUGCCAUGAGACAAAAUUGCAUGCUCAUAUCAGUGAGUUUUUUCAAGAAUAUGUCAUAUCAGAGAAAUUCUACCUUGCAGCAAACUUGACUCCACAACGUCUGGCUUAUUUAUUCUCUUUUCUGCAAACUGUGCUUUAAGCCGUAUGAAAUGUUCAUGAGUACUGUCAUUGCUUCUAAUCUGGAUUUUCACAUGACUUUGUGGAUACAUCUCUCAUUGAUAACAUCUAAAAUAACUUCAAAAGCCUGAUAAGUGAUGUGCGCUUGGCCGGUCACAAUGAUCUUCGGUGCUAUUACUGGAAUAGAACAACCAACUUCACUGGAUAAUUAUACUUGAUUGACUAGCAUAAGCAAAUAAUAUGAAGUGCCAAGCACUUAAAAGAAUUUGACUUUCUUCAUAGAAUGCUUGCAUGGCAGUGAAACUGUAAUAUCUACUCAGACAGUUCUCACAUCCUAAUUAUCUCUAGCAUGUGGGUGAUUUUAUCUAUGCAUUAUCCACUUAUUAUAUAAAUGAGUUCAAAUUUCCAGUUGCAGGAUGUUGAUGAAUGAAACACUGUCAAUGGCAGAUAUUGAACUUUAUCAACAACAAAAAAAAA